rnacentral:snRNA from 1 species
GUGCUCAUUUCAGGAUCAUCGUAUAUACCAAAACUGGAAUAAUACAGAGAAGAUUAGCAUGACCCCUGCUCAAGGAUGAUAUGAAAAUUCAUGAAGUGUUCAUAUUUUCU